AUUGAUUGAUGGUGCUUGCACCUGAUUGAUUUUGGUCGCCAACGAGUGGCGGACGGGUGAGUAACACGUAGGUAACCUGCCCAGAAGCGGGGGACAACAUUUGGAAACAGAUGCUAAUACCGCAUAACAGCGUUGUUCGCAUGAACAACGCUUAAAAGAUGGCUUCUCGCUAUCACUUCUGGAUGGACCUGCGGUGCAUUAGCUUGUUGGUGGGGUAACGGCCUACCAAGGCGAUGAUGCAUAGCCGAGUUGAGAGACUGAUCGGCCACAAUGGGACUGAGACACGGCCCAUACUCCUACGGGAGGCAGCAGUAGGGAAUCUUCCACAAUGGGCGCAAGCCUGAUGGAGCAACACCGCGUGAGUGAAGAAGGGUUUCGGCUCGUAAAGCUCUGUUGUUAAAGAAGAACACGUAUGAGAGUAACUGUUCAUACGUUGACGGUAUUUAACCAGAAAGUCACGGCUAACUACGUGCCAGCAGCCGCGGUAAUACGUAGGUGGCAAGCGUUAUCCGGAUUUAUUGGGCGUAAAGAGAGUGCAGGCGGUUUUCUAAGUCUGAUGUGAAAGCCUUCGGCUUAACCGGAGAAGUGCAUCGGAAACUGGAUAACUUGAGUGCAGAAGAGGGUAGUGGAACUCCAUGUGUAGCGGUGGAAUGCGUAGAUAUAUGGAAGAACACCAGUGGCGAAGGCGGCUACCUGGUCUGCAACUGACGCUGAGACUCGAAAGCAUGGGUAGCGAACAGGAUUAGAUACCCUGGUAGUCCAUGCCGUAAACGAUGAGUGCUAGGUGUUGGAGGGUUUCCGCCCUUCAGUGCCGGAGCUAACGCAUUAAGCACUCCGCCUGGGGAGUACGACCGCAAGGUUGAAACUCAAAGGAAUUGACGGGGGCCCGCACAAGCGGUGGAGCAUGUGGUUUAAUUCGAAGCUACGCGAAGAACCUUACCAGGUCUUGACAUCUUGCGCCAACCCUAGAGAUAGGGCGUUUCCUUCGGGAACGCAAUGACAGGUGGUGCAUGGUCGUCGUCAGCUCGUGUCGUGAGAUGUUGGGUUAAGUCCCGCAACGAGCGCAACCCUUGUUACUAGUUGCCAGCAUUAAGUUGGGCACUCUAGUGAGACUGCCGGUGACAAACCGGAGGAAGGUGGGGACGACGUCAGAUCAUCAUGCCCCUUAUGACCUGGGCUACACACGUGCUACAAUGGACGGUACAACGAGUCGCGAACUCGCGAGGGCAAGCAAAUCUCUUAAAACCGUUCUCAGUUCGGACUGCAGGCUGCAACUCGCCUGCACGAAGUCGGAAUCGCUAGUAAUCGCGGAUCAGCAUGCCGCGGUGAAUACGUUCCCGGGCCUUGUACACACCGCCCGUCACACCAUGAGAGUUUGUAACACUCCAAAGUCGGUGGGGUAACCUUUUAGGAGCCAGCCGCCUAAU
rnacentral:rRNA from 1 species